GUUUAAUGAUGCCUCACACAAGACUCUAUCUUAAAUGGGUCACCAGUUAGGAAAGGGGCUUGGUUUCAGCAUAGGGGUGC